CCGGCUCUCCCCCCGCCGCCGCCGCCGCUGCCCCCCCGGGCGCCGGGCAGGGCUGCGGGGGAGGCUCAGCCGGCGGCUCCACCAUGGCUCGGCCUGCAAGGGAGAGAGCGGCGGCGGGCGCAGCUUAAUCUGCUUCGCUUUAGUAAGGAAGGACAUGGCACUCAGCAAAGGACUUCCAGGAUGGCCUGGGACAAGGAUACAGAGCAACGGAGGGACCCAAGAAAGGCCUCGGGAGUCCUUGGGAGAAAGCCGAGGAGCUGCAGGUUGGUUGUGGUUUCAUAUUGUACAGGCAGAGACUUCGAAUCAUGCUCAUCCCUGUGCUGAUGAAUGCACACAGUAAUGAUGCAUCUGCAGCGAGUGGGCAAACUCCACCAAUAAACCAUAUUGACUAAUCUGAUCUCAUUCAUUCGUCAUCAUCAUAGUCUGCAGGGGACGGUUAUAAAGCUUGGUAAUUAGUUAUGUGAAAAAUCCUCAGGCCAGGGAACAGCUCUGUGCUGUCUGAAGAGCCUAGCUCGCUGGCUGAUGGGGCUAACCAUUAAUACUAGCUGCAGCGCCACAGCUGUCAAGCCAUAGCUGUGUUCCCUCCUUGUGGAAAAUAUUAAGCUGCACGAGCUGGGAUUCCUAAUUCCUUAGGCAUCAGAGAGCAUCCGUCCUGAACCCCAGAGGCCGUACGAGUUCCAGUGCAGUUCAGAUCCCAUCAUCUGAAUCCCAUGUCAUCAAAACCUCCCUGGGAAGGGAAACUGUUCUACCUGAAGAGUGAGAGACUGCAACUGGAGACAGUGCCAAAUAGAUUUUUUCUUUUCUGUUGGGCUGAUAUCUGGGAAUAAAGCCAGCUGGAAGACUGCUGGAAGGAAAUCUUCCUAA